CGGGGGAGCAAGCGUUGUUCGGAUUACUGGGCGUAAAGGGCGCGUAGGCGGCCACCGCAAGUCAGUUGUGAAAUCUCUGGGCUUAACCCAGAAAGGUCAACUGAUACUGCGGGGCUAGAGUGCAGAAGGGGCGAACUGGAAUUCUCGGUGUAGCGGUGAAAUGCGUAGAUAUCGAGAGGAACACCUGCGGCGAAGGCGGGUUGCUGGGCUGACACUGACGCUGAUGCGCGAAAGCUAGGGGAGCGAACGGGAUUAGAUACCCCGGUAGUCCUAGCCUUAAACGAUGAAUGCUUGGUGUCUGGGGUUUUAUAGUCCCCGGGUGCCGUCGCUAACGCUUUAAGCAUUCCGCCUGGGGAGUACGGUCGCAAGACUG
rnacentral:rRNA from 1 species